UCUUGGAGAAGGUUUUCUCCAACAGCUUCAGGUACCAUAUUUGACCCUCAAAGGAAUUGUCAUCAUCAGAACUUGAAAUUUCGUCCUCCUCUGGCUCUUCUAUACAUGCAAUAGAAAUUGAUAUAAAUUUCACUUAUCAA